UUAUAUGAAAAAAAGAAACCUUUGCUUUUGUGCUGCAAACGUCAAUAGCAAGACAGCUAUUUUUUUUCUCUCAGCCAAUAAAUAUAUUUAUUGAAAACAAAGACAAAAUAUUGCCAAAUAAGUUGCAAAACCCAAACAAAAGAACAAAUCACCUAAGCAAAUACAAAGGACAAAUCAUCAAACUAAAGCUCCACAACACCAAAACAUAAUGACUUGUAAACAUCUCAUAACAAA
rnacentral:lncRNA from 1 species